rnacentral:rRNA from 1 species
UACGAACUGUGCGAACGUUAUUCGGAAUCACUGGGCUUACAGGGUGCGUAGGCGGCCGUUCAGGUCAGGUGUGAAAGCCCUCGGCUCAACCGAGGAACUGCGCAUGAAACCGGAUGGCUCGAGUCAACUAGAGGUGCACGGAACUUCCAGUGGAGCGGUGAAAUGUGUUGAUAUUGGAAGGAACACCGGAGGCGAAAGCGGUGCACUGGGGUUGGUCUGACGCUGAGGCACGAAAGCCAGGGGAGCGAACGGG